UUGUAAUUUGUAGAGGAUGUUUCGGGCGCGGUGCCGGUCUAAGUCCCUUGGAACAGGGCGUCGCAGAGGGUGAGAAUCCCGUAUGUGACCGGUGGCCAACCCCAUGUGAAACCCCCUCGACGAGUCGAGUUGUUUGGGAAUGCAGCUCAAAAUGGGUGGUAAAUUUCAUCUAAAGCUAAAUACCGGCCAGAGACCGAUAGCGCACAAGUAGAGUGAUCGAAAGAUGAAAAGCACUUUGGAAAGAGAGUCAAAAAGUACGUGAAAUUGUUGAAAGGGAAGCGCUUGCGACCAGACCUGUCCGUGGGCGAUCAGCCGUUCUCAGCGGUGCACUCGGCGAUCAGGCCAGCAUCGGUUUGGGCGGUUGGAUAAAGGCCUCGAGAAUGUAGCUUAGUGUUAUAGCUCGAGGUGCAAUGCGGCCAGCCCGGACCGAGGACCGCGCUUCGGCUAGGAUGCUGGCGUAAUGGUCGUAAGCGACCCGUCUUGAAACACGGACCAAGGAGUCAAACAUUUAUGCGAGUGUUUGGGAGUCAAACCCAUACGCGCAAUGAAAGUGAACGGAGGUGAGAACCCAGGGCGCAUCAUCGACCGAUCCAGAUG
rnacentral:rRNA from 1 species